AUUUUGAACGGGACAAUAUUUAUUUUGAUAUCUAAGUCCUACUAUGUUUGUUAAAAAACGUCUAUUACCUUAUAGUGUUUCUUCUGUAUUCCCUCUACCACUGAGCAGAGGGUUGGCACUCAGCACACAGUAUAUCAGCAAGUACUUGGGGGAAUGGAACUGAGCCUUGAGUGUGCUGCUAUGUGCUAAUUUGCAAGUCAGUAUUAAAAAUUCCAUUUGAAUUCCCAAAUCCAACAAAUUUUAAGGAUUUUCUUUCCUCAGUAGAUGUGGGAUGUGCAUAUCUAAAAGAGGUGCUUUCCCUUCUCCUUCUAAGAAGCAAAGGGGACCACUUUUCUCUUCAGUUUCUUAUAAGUCCGUUUAAGUGAGUGAGCAGCCAGGAGGGCACUCAAUCUGUCACCCAGAUGUUGAGUGGCUUCUGUGAGUAUUAGCCACUGGGAGAGGAUACAAAAGAAAUGGAAGCCGCCAUCUCUGCCCUGGUGCUGCCCCCAAUCUGUGGAGGAAACCAUGAGCCAUGAAAACAAUAGGAUAUUUACAAAGACGUGCUGGUGGGCGAUUCCAAGACAGGAGACUCCUUCCUACCUCGUGUUUGCGAAUCAUUUUAAACUUUUCCGUGUGUUAUAACAUCCAUUAUCUCCUUGCAUUUGGUCCUCACAGCAAUUCUCUGAAAUGAAAUUAUGGACUGUUAUAGAUGAAAAGGAUCUUAGCGGUCAUCCAUUUUAUCCAACCCUCUCACUCUAAGGAGGAAACUGAGGCACGGAGAUGUGAAGUGCUCUGCUCUUGGCCACCCAGGGAGCAGAGGAGCUAGAACCGGAACCCAGACCCUGCUUCCUGUCUACGUAGCUGCUGGCUCUUCCCACACAGGGCUGGAAUGAGUUGAGUGAGGGAAUUUCAGCCACCAUGGCGAGUUGGUAGAGGAAGGAGGCCACUGACUGCCCAGUCCCCGAUGGGUUUCCUCUGCCUGCCUUGAGGAUUUGCCACCAUAGCCAGAGUCCUCAGAGUGACCGCCUCAGGACCACCCCUCCUGUUGUGGGCGUGGGUAGGCUGAUGAGGGCUUGGGCUGAGUUUUUGUACUUCCAUGGAGGCACAGCUAGAAGGGAAAGCGCCAUCGUGCCAGUAGCAUUUGGCUGAUGUUCAGGUGUGCAUCUCCCCAGCUCAGGAUGCUCCUCCCUCUUCACCUAGUUAACCCAGCUCAGCCUUCAGGUCUCAGCUUCAAGGUCAUGUCCCCAAAGAGGCUCUCCCUGACCUUAGUUCUAAAUAAGGGUUCCUUG
rnacentral:lncRNA from 1 species